rnacentral:rRNA from 1 species
UUAGCUUGCUAAGUUUGAUGGCGACCGGCGCACGGGUGAGUAACACGUAUCCCACCUGCCGAUGACUCGGGGAUAGCCUUUCGAAAGAAAGAUUAAUACCCGAUGGCAUAGUUCUUCCGCAUGGUAGAACUAUUAAAGAAUUUCGGUCAUCGAUGGGGAUGCGUUCCAUUAGGUUGUUGGCGGGGUAACGGCCCACCAAGCCUUCGAUGGAUAGGGGUUCUGAGAGGAAGGUCCCCCACAUUGGAACUGAGACACGGUCCAAACUCCUACGGGAGGCAGCAGUGAGGAAUAUUGGUCAAUGGACGAGAGUCUGAACCAGCCAAGUAGCGUGAAGGAUGACUGCCCUAUGGGUUGUAAACUUCUUUUAUACGGGAAUAAAGUGAGGCACGUGUGCCUUUUUGUAUGUACCGUAUGAAUAAGGAUCGGCUAACUCCGUGCCAGCAGCCGCGGUAAUACGGAGGAUCCGAGCGUUAUCCGGAUUUAUUGGGUUUAAAGGGAGCGUAGGCGGACGCUUAAGUCAGUUGUGAAAGUUUGCGGCUCAACCGUAAAAUUGCAGUUGAUACUGGGUGUCUUGAGUACAGUAGAGGCAGGCGGAAUUCGUGGUGUAGCGGUGAAAUGCUUAGAUAUCACGAAGAACUCCGAUUG